CAUGCGUUGAGCAACGCCUCCCUGCCACUGCCUUGGGCUCCUGAAGCCAUUGCUCCACAAAAGAAAGCAGAGACGGAUUUUCACAACGAAAAGUUGUGUCUUAGACACAUGAAUCACUAUAGCUUGGAGGCCCUCAGCUUACUGCCCUGGGGGGGUACCCAGUGAUCACACGUGCCCACGUUUAUACUCCAAGACAACACUCUCCUUGGCUAGAGUUUAUUUGACCAGUUGAUGGGCUCAACUGAAGAAUUUGGAACUGUGAUGAUCCUUCCAUAUGUAACCCAGGGUGAGCCGGGUGCGGAGUACACAGCAAAGGCAAACGCAAAUGUAAAAAUGGCCAGUAUGGCAACAGAACAGCAAUAAAGUAUUAGGUGAGUAAUGUGUUCAAAUAUUUUGUAAUUGCACCCAAAACACCCUUAUCAUAAAAACGUGAAACUUCUAUUGGGUGUGGGAGCGUAUACCUAAUAAUCCUAGCCCAUGGACAGCUGAGAAGAGGAUGGCAAGUUCACAGCCAGCCUGGUCUAUGUAGUGAGAC
rnacentral:lncRNA from 1 species